ensembl:lncRNA
AGAGAGGUGACACUGAGGUGACAGUGUGGGGGCACUGAGGUGACAUGGAGGUGACACAGAGGAGACACAGAAGUGACACGGAAGUGACACAGAGGAGACACAGAGGUGGCACUGAGGUGACACAGAGGUGACACAGAGGUGACAGAGGUGACAGAGGUGACACAGAGGUGACAGAGGUGACCCGGAGGUGACGCGGAGGUUACACAGAAGUGACACAGAGGUGACAGAGGUGACCCGGAGGUGACAGUGAGGUGACAGUGAGGUGACACGGAGGUGACACAGAGGUGGCACUGAGGUGACCCGGAGGAGACACUGAGGUGACCCGGAGGUGACACAGAGGUGACACAGAGGUGACACAGAGGUGACAGAGGUGACCCGGAGGUGAUAGAGGUGACGCGGAGGUGACACAGAGGUGACAGAGGUGACCCGGAGGUGAUAGAGGUGACGCGGAGGUGACACAGAGGUGACAGAGGUGACCCGGAGGUGACGCGGAGGUUACACAGAAGUGACACAGAGGUGACAGAGGUGACCCGGAGGUGACACUGAGGUGACAGAGGUGACAUUGAGGUGACACAGAGGUGACAGAGGUGACCCGGAGGUGACACAGAGGUGACCCGGAGGUGACACAGAGGUGACACUGAGGUGACAGAGGUGACCCGGAGGUGACAGAGGUGACACUGAGGUGACACGAAGGUGACAGAGGUGACCCGGAGGUGACAGAGGUGACAUUGAGGUGACACAGAGGUGACAGAGGUGACAUUGAGGUGACACAGAGGUGACACAGAGGUGGCACUGAGGUGACGCGGAGGUGACACUGAG